UGUUAAAAUUUUUAUCUAUUUGUACUGUUAAAAACUAGUGUGGCUAUUAAAAUCAUAAGAUAGUAACACGUGGCGUGUCACAUGUACCUCAUGCUGAUCAAAUUUUAAUAGUAGAAAUAGAUGGAAUUUUUAAUA
rfam:Gossypium arboreum cultivar AKA8401 contig_10622_1, whole genome shotgun sequence.